rnacentral:lncRNA from 1 species
UAUAUAUAUUCUGAUUCAAUAAAAACAAAAACUACUGAUGUUAUCUUCUCGAGAUCCUCAAGCAAUAUCAAAUAAUAUCAGUGCCUUAUAUUUAUUGAGAACACUCUGACAGGAAAAGAAAAGCUUUCUUUAUUUAAUAGUGUCUGCCGAAAUUUUACAGCAUAAUUUUUUGAUUUUGUAAAACAUGUACAACAUGGGAAUGAUUUUCUAUUCUCGCAAUAUCUAGGGGUGUUAGUCCUUCACAUUUAAGGUUUACGUCUGCAUCAUUCUUUAAUAACAAUUCAACAAUCUUUGUAUGACCGUAAAAACAAGUUAUAAAUACAGGAGACUCUCCUGUAGUCGUUCACUUAUUAAUGUCAGCUUUAUUGGUUAUUAA